rnacentral:rRNA from 1 species
UACGUAGGUGGCAAGCGUUAUCCGGAAUUAUUGGGCGUAAAGAGCGCGCAGGUGGUUGAUUAAGUCUGAUGUGAAAGCCCACGGCUUAACCGUGGAGGGUCAUUGGAAACUGGUCGACUUGAGUGCGGAAGAGGGAAGUGGAAUUCCAUGUGUAGCGGUGAAAUGCGUAGAGAUAUGGAGGAACACCAGUGGCGAAGGCGGCUUCCUGGUCUGUAACUGACACUGAGGCGCGAAAGCGUGGGGAGCAAACAGGAUUAGAUACCCU